rnacentral:rRNA from 1 species
GAUGAACGCUGGCGGCGUGCCUAAUACAUGCAAGUCGAGCGAACGGACGAGAAGCUUGCUUCUCUGAUGUUAGCGGCGGACGGGUGAGUAACACGUGGAUAACCUACCUAUAAGACUGGGAUAACUUCGGGAAACCGUAGCUAAUACCGGAUAAUAUUUUGAACCGCAUGGUUCAAAAGUGAAAGACGGUCUUGCUGUCACUUAUAGAUGGAUCCGCGCUGCAUUAGCUAGUUGGUAAGGUAACGGCUUACCAAGGCAACGAUGCAUAGCCGACCUGAGAGGGGGAUCGGCCACACUGGAACUGAGAAACGGUCCAGACUCCUACGGGAGGCAGCAGUAGGGAAUCUUCCGCAAUGGGCGAAAGCCUGACGGAGCAACGCCGCGUGAGUGAUGAAGGUCUUCGGAUCGUAAAACUCUGUUAUUAGGGAAGAACAUAUGUGUAAGUAACUGUGCACAUCUUGACGGUACCUAAUCAGAAAGCCACGGCUAACUACGUG